rnacentral:rRNA from 1 species
AGAGAUUAGAGUUUGAUCCUGGCUCAGAUUGAACGCUGGCGGCAGGCUUAACACAUGCAAGUCGAGCGGAAACGAUGGUAGCUUGCUAUCAGGCGUCGAGCGGCGGACGGGUGCGUAACGCGUAGGAAUCUGCCCAGUAGCGGGGGAUAGCCCGGAGAAAUCCGGAUUAAUACCGCAUAAGCCCCACGGGGGAAAGCAGGGGAUCUUCGGACCUUGCGCUAUUGGAUGAGCCUGCGUCGGAUUAGCUUGUAGGUGGGGUAAUGGCCUACCUAGGCAACGAUCCGUAGCUGGUCUGAGAGGAUGAUCAGCCACACUGGGACUGAGACACGGCCCAGACUCCUACGGGAGGCAGCAGUGGGGAAUAUUGGACAAUGGGCGCAAGCCUGAUCCAGCCAUGCCGCGUGUGUGAAGAAGGCUCUAGGGUUGUAAAGCACUUUAAGUGGGGAGGAAGGCCUUAAGAUUAACACUCUUGAGGAUUGACGUUACCUGCAGAAUAAGCACCGGCUAACUCCGUGCCAGCAGCCGCGGUAAUACGGAGGGUGCAAGCGUUAAUCGGAAUUACUGGGCGUAAAGCGCGCGUAGGCGUUUGCUAAGGCCGGAUGUGAAAGCCCCGGGCUUAACCUGGGAACUGCAUUUGGAACUGGCAGGCUAGAGUACGGUAGAGGGUGGUAGAAUUUCCUGUGUAGCGGUGAAAUGCGUAGAUAUAGGAAGGAAUACCAGUGGCGAAGGCGGCCACCUGGACUGAUACUGACGCUGAGGUGCGAAAGCGUGGGGAGCGAACAGGAUUAGAUACCCUGGUAGUCCACGCCGUAAACGAUGUCUACUAGCCGUUGGGAGACUUGAUCUCUUAGUGGCGCAGCUAACGCAAUAAGUAGACCGCCUGGGGAGUACGGCCGCAAGGUUAAAACUCAAAUGAAUUGACGGGGGCCCGCACAAGCGGUGGAGCAUGUGGUUUAAUUCGAGGCAACGCGAAGAACCUUACCAGGACUUGACAUCCUCUGAACUUUCUAGAGAUAGAUUGGUGCCUUCGGGAACUGUUAGACAGGUGCUGCAUGGCUUUCGUCAGCUCGUGUUGUGAAAUGUUGUGUUAAGUCCCGUAACGAGCGCAACCCUUGUCCUUAGUUACCAUCAUUUAGUUUGGGCACUCUAAUGGGACUGCCGGUGUCAAACCGGAGGAAGGCGGGGACGACGUCAAGUCAUCAUGGCCCUUACGAGUAGGGCUACACACGUGCUACAAUGGCCAGUACAAACGGUUGCAAUCCUGCGAGGGGGAGCUAAUCUGAGAAAGCUGGUCGUAGUCCGGAUCGGAGUCUGCAACUCGACUCCGUGAAGUCGGAAUCGCUAGUAAUCGUGAAUCAGAAUGUCACGGUGAAUACGUUCCCGGGCCUUGUACACACCGCCCGUCACACCAUGGGAGUGGGUUGCUCCAGAAGUAAAUAGCUUAACCUUCGGGAGGGCGUUUACCACGGAGUGAUUCAUGACUGGGGUGAAGUCGGAACAAGGUAGCCG